UGGGGAAUAUUGCGCAAUGGGGGAAACCCUGACGCAGCGACGCCGCGUGUGGGAUGAAGGUCUUCGGAUUGUAAACCACUGUCGCGAGGGACGAAGCUCUGACGGUACCUCGAAAGGAAGCACCGGCUAACUCUGUGCCAGCAGCCGCGGUAAUACAGAGGGUGCGAGCGUUGUCCGGAAUCACUGGGCGUAAAGGGCGCGUAGGCGGCCCGGUAAGUAGGGGGUGAAAUCUCAUGGCUCAACUGUGAGGCUGCCUUCUAGACUGCCAGGCUUGAGCACAGUAGAGGCGAGUGGAAUUCCCGGUGUAGCGGUGAAAUGCGUAGAUAUUGGGAGGAACACCAGUGGCGAAGGCGACUACCUGGACGGGUACUGACGCUGAGGCGCGAAAGCAUGGGUAGCAAACAGGAUUAGAUACCCCCCUAGUCCCUGAGCGGGCUGGCAAGGCGCAU
rnacentral:rRNA from 1 species